UGACAAUUUACCAUGUGAUUAAAUUUGGCUUCUUACACAGCAUACAUGGGAGGACAGAAGCCACACAACAAACAAGAUAGCAGAAGGGCUUUUGCUGGACACAAGUUCCUGCUUGACAUGAGAGACUCCAUUUUGCACUCUACAGAAAGGAACAGAAGAAUUAUUUGGAACAAUAAUGGAUAUGAAUCUUCCCAGUUAAUAUAAUACACGAAACUACAGAUCACAGAUCCAGGAAACUCGAGAACACCAAGCAGGAAAAAUGAAAACAACAACAAAACUAUACUUAGGCAUAUCAUUUUCAAACUACAGAAAACCAAAGACAAAGAAAAAAAUCCCGAAAGAAGCCAAAUAAAAA
rnacentral:lncRNA from 1 species